AACAUACCUCAAUUAGAAUGAAGUGGUUCUCAUUGUGUAUAUUAAUAAUCGCACUGACGAGCGUUGUGACUGCUGCUCCAGUUGAUGUGUAUAACUGUAAAAAACGUACAACUUUUAUUGUGUAUGAUGGCGAGGAUCUUGAAAUUAUGAAAAAUUGUAAUGACUGCACACUUAAACGACGCAAUGGCUAUACCAAAGUUUCUAUACCGAGAUAUUGAAGCUACGUUUAUAUAAUAAGUUAUCAGUUAUAUCAAAUAUAAAUAUGCAUUAUUUCAGUUUUGACCGUACAACAAUACAGUUUCAAAAAUUUUGUCAUAUUUUAUAGCAUAAAUAUACUACACGAUAUUUAUAUACACAUGAUGGACUACAGUUGAUAUAAAUAAAAGUACUUUAAAGAAAUUA